GAUUUAUCGGUCAGCUCGUGCUGAGGAGGCGGGAACUUAUGGUUAUCGUUAUUUACAUCUCCCUUUUCCAGUAUCAUUAAGAUGCAGAAAAGAAAGAGGCAGGAGAAGAUUGACACCUUUUUCAAGAGAAAUCCUGAGAGGAAGUUGCUGGAGGCAUCAGUUUCAGAGAGAGCACAGGAAGGUUCACAUGUGAGCAAUGAAAUGAAUGUUACAGUUUGUGAAAGAGGUCUAUGAAGGAAGAGAGGCCAUGUGUGUGUGUUUGUGUCAUGGGUGGUGUAACCACAACUUUCUUUUACUGCUGGUAUUGGUAAUAGAAGUGAGCAAUAUUUGACGCGUAAACAUUAAAGUCUUUGCAAUCGGAUUUAAAAUGCCAUAGUCUCUUUAUUGCGCUUCAGUAAAUAAACAUUGCUUUAAAUUGCAUCCUGUGGUAUCAUUUUGUUUGUUUAUUUCUCACCGAAAAAGUCCACACAAAUUCCAUACCUUGUAGGUAAUGGCUACUUUUCCAUUUGGUUCCACAUAAUAUAAAAAAGCCAGUUAACCUCCUGAAGCACGACCCAAUACGGUCAAAAACUAUGUGCUUCCCUACUCCCAAUACACACCUGGCUCAUCAUCUCAUCACCCUUAUAUACGUGUGAAUUCACUCAGAGUGCCACCCAAUGGACAAAUAUAUUACAACAAAAAUGGUUACAACAGGUGGUGCUUAUUUCCAUCCCAGGUGCAGGCGUGUGUCUGGUGUGUUUAUAUCAAAUUCACAAUUUCAUUUCAAAUGUUUUGAUUAGGGGUGUACGUGAGGAUGUGGCCAGGAGUGAGGAAGACAGAGAUGAAGAGGGAGGAAAAGGCAGACACGAAGCAGGCAGACAAGAAGCGGGCAGACAAGAAGCAGGCAGACAAGAAGAACAGAGUGAGGGAGAGGUCAGAGAGGAUAAGGAUGAAGAUGAAAUGGUAGAGAGAGGAGCAGAGAACUCAGACGUGGCUGUUACUCGCCAUCAGUUCAGUAAGCCCAAUCAACCAGAUCCAAAAUUAAUUGCUAAACAGUCCUUGCCCAAAGAGGAAGCAAGGGAAUGUCUUCUCAAAAUCAUUGGUGCUGUGCAGAUGUUGGCUAGGCAGGGCUUACCUUUUAGGGGCCAUGAAUGUGGUGAGGGAAAUUUUGAACAGGUUCUGAAGUACAAAUCAGAGGAUGACCCCUCUCUAACCAA